rnacentral:tmRNA from 1 species
GGGGCUGUUUUAGGAUUCGCCGUGAUUGUUGAAGAUAUAUAAGCACGUAGUGGUAGGCCACUUUAAAAACGUCGAGGUUUAAAUAACCGCAAACAAUACUCAUUUAUUUGCACGCGCUAACAAUAUGAGCGCUGCAUACGCUUGCUAAUAAUAAUAUAAGCGGCUCUCCCUAUUAGUUUCCUAUGCUAGUAGGCUAGAGUUUCACUACAGUAGGAUAUAUCAAUCUUGUGCUACUCUAACAAGAAUUGAUGAAUUUAAUAGAGUGUAGCUAGCUUUUGGGUUGUCUAUUCCCUUAGGGCUAGUGAAAUUUUAGGAUAGACUAAACGUGUAGAAAGUAUAUUGGAUAUUGUUGCGUACGGGAGUUCGAGUCUCCCCAGCUCCACCA